rnacentral:lncRNA from 1 species
UUUAUUAUUGCUUAGACCGCCUCAUUACCUAUAUUUGUGGUGUGAGUUUAGGCGACAUCAUUAACCUUCUGCCAAAGAUUUAUUAAGAAAAUUUUCUAGUCAUUCUAAAUUCUUUCUUUAUCCUCCAACAUAAAGGGGAUAAAGUUGUCAAAGUCAAAAUAGUUAUCAGUUUCAUCUGAGAUAUCGAACCCUAUUUGGGUGUUUUGGAGGUUGCCUAUAAUUUAUUGAAAAAAUUGUGUGGUCCAGCUGAUCAUUUCUUCGAUCUGGGGUAAUGUUUUUGUUCUCUUGUUUUAAGGUUGUUCGGGUUUGGAUAAAGGUUGUUUUUUGCAUGUUGCCUUAUUUCAUCUUCUAGGUUUUCCAUCUCAGUGUCAGUUGGUAGAGUGUCUCAUCUUUUAGGAACAUUUACUAGUGAAUUAGUGUUUGUUAGUGCAUUCAUAAAUGAGGUAACGGAUGUGAAAGUGUUCUAUUCAUGUCUCUAGAAUUCUAGAAAGAAGUAGGAGGUCUCUCUGAAC